rnacentral:rRNA from 1 species
UACGGGGGGGGCAAGCGUUGUUCGGAAUUACUGGGCGUAAAGGGCGCGUAGGCGGUUUGCUAAGUUGGACGUGAAAACUCUGGGCCUAACCCAGAGCCUGCAUCCAAAACUGGCAAGCUGGAGUAUUGGAGGGGGAAGCGGAAUUCCUGGUGUAGCAGUGAAAUGCGUAGAUAUCAGGAGGAACACCGGUGGCGAAGGCGGCUUCCUGGACAAUAACUGACGCUGAGGCGCGAAAGCUAGGGGAGCAAACAGG